rnacentral:lncRNA from 1 species
CAGUGUGUGCGUGAGAUGAGAGAAAGAGAGAUGAAAUGGGGUUAGCGGCUGAUAGGGGGAAGAAAAGAAGGGUUGAGUGUUGGGCCAUUACAUUGGGCUCGCAAUUUUUUUUUAUAUUUGGGCUCGAUUUUUUUUAAUCGUUUGGGCUUUCUUUUAUUUAAGUUUGGGCCUCACAAUUUUAAGUAUUUCAAGCCAAGAUUUGGGCUUCCCUAUGUUAAAUUCGAAUUGGGCCAGUUUUUUUUAUUUAUUUGGGCCUUUUUCCUUUAAUUACUGAUUGGGCUCGAAUUGUUUUAAAGUUAUGGGCCGAUUUAUUUAACUAUUGGGCCGAGUUUUAUUUAAUUUUAAGCUCAGAAUAAUUCAUUCUAUUCUUGGGCUAAUUUUAAAUUAUGGACUGAAAUUUUAUUUAGUUGGGCCUUACAUGAUUUAUUUAUUUGAGCCCAACUAUUCAUUAUUUAAUCA